rnacentral:rRNA from 1 species
UAGGGAAUAUUAGAAAUGGACGAAAGUCUGAUCUAGCAAAUCCGCGUGUGCGAAGAAGGCCUUCGGGUUGUAAAGCACUUUUUGGUAGGAUUAGGAAGGAAUGUACUUCCAGAAUAAGUCUCGGCUAACUACGUGCCAGCAGCCGCGGUAACACGUAGGAGGCAAACGUUAUCCGGAUUUACUGGGCGUAAAGCGCGUGUAGGUGGUUCUGUAAGUAGGGCGUGAAAGCUCCUGGCUCAACUGGGGGAGGCCGUGCUAAACUGCAGAGCUAGAGGAUGGUAGAGGGAGGUGGAAUUCCGGGUGUAGCGGUGGAAUGCGCAGAUAUCCGGAGGAACACCAGUGGCGAAAGCGGCCUCCUGGACCAUUCCUGACACUCAGACGCGAAAGCUAGGGUAGCAAACG